rnacentral:rRNA from 1 species
GAUGAACGCUGGCGGCGUGCCUAAUACAUGCAAGUAGAACGCUGAAGCUUGGUGCUUGCACCGAGCGGAUGAGUUGCGAACGGGUGAGUAACGCGUAGGUAACCUGCCUGGUAGCGGGGGAUAACUAUUGGAAACGAUAGCUAAUACCGCAUAACAGUAGAUAUUGCAUGAUAUCUGCUUGAAAGGUGCAAAUGCAUCACUACCAGAUGGACCUGCGUUGUAUUAGCUAGUUGGUGAGGUAACGGCUCACCAAGGCGACGAUACAUAGCCGACCUGAGAGGGUGAUCGGCCACACUGGGACUGAGACACGGCCCAGACUCCUACGGGAGGCAGCAGUAGGGAAUCUUCGGCAAUGGGGGGAACCCUGACCGAGCAACGCCGCGUGAGUGAAGAAGGUUUUCGGAUCGUAAAGCUCUGUUGUAAGAGAAGAACGAGUGUGAGAGUGGAAAGUUCACACUGUGACGGUAUCUACCA